rnacentral:rRNA from 1 species
AGCUCCAAUAGCGUAUAUUAAAGUUGCUGCAGUUAAAAAGCUCGUAGUUGCAUUUCCGAGGCAAGGGAUUAGUCCGACCUUUGGUGGGUAUUUAAUCCUCUUGCCUCGUCCUUGAGUGGUGCUUCUUGGUAUUAAGUUAUCGAGGAGAUAGCCGCUCAUCGUUUACUGUGAGAAAAUUAGAGUGUUCAAAGCAGGCUUAUGCCGUUGAAUAUAUUAGCAUGGAAUAAUAAGAUAGGGCCUCGGUACUAUUUUGUUGGUUUGAGAGCCAAGGUAAUGAUGAAUAGGGACAGUUGGGGGUAUUCGUAUUCAGUUGUCAGAGGUGAAAUUCUUAGAUUUACGGAAGACGAACUACUGCGAAAGCAUUUACCAAGGAUGUUUUCA